AUUGAACGCUAGCUGGAUGCUUUACACAUGCAAGUCGAACGGGGUGGACGACGGGUGUGUAAUAUAUCGGACCGUGCCCAGUAGCGGGGAAAAACUACUCGAAAGCGUGGCUGAUACCGCAUACCAAUAGAGCGGCCGAUAUCGGAUUAGCUAGUGUGGGGGGUAAAGGCUCACCAAGGACACGAUCCGUAGCUGGUUUGAGAGGACGACCAGCCACACUGGGACUGAGACACGGCCCAGACUCCUACGGGAGGCAGCAGUGGGGAAUUUUGGACAAUGGGGGAAACCCUGAUCCAGCCAUCCCGCGUGUAUGAUGAAGGCCUUCGGGUUGUAAAGUACUUUUGGCAGAGAAGCGGUAUCUGCAGAAUAAGCACCGGCUAACUACGUGCCAGCAGCCGCGGUAAUUC
rnacentral:rRNA from 1 species